UUGGAAGUAUCCCAACUUACUAAUCAUACUUCUAACCAUGUUGAUCAAUGUUCUGUUCCACAUUCUUAAAGAUAAAGAGCAAAAGGUCCCAUAUUCUGUCCAGCAUCUGUAUGCGUACCAUAAUACUCACCUCCCCUAUCUGAUCUAACAACUUUAAUGACUUUACUUAAUUGUUUCUCUGCCUCAUCCAUAAAAAUUUUAAAGACGUCUAAAGCCUGUGACUUUUCAGAAAUAAGAAAUACAUGCAGAACCUCGAAAAAUCAUCAAUAAAGGUAAUAAAAUACUGAUUUUGCAAAGAGUCAGAAGAGGAAAAGGACCACAGAUGUCACUCAUGUCAGUGUGGAUUAAUUUUAAUAGUUCUUGGGCUCCUAACAGAACCUUUUUACUAGACUUGGUCGUUUUACCCUUAAGACACUCAAUGCAGACAUCAAAAUCAGUAAAAUCUAAAGAAGGUAGAAAGUCCACAUUCAGUCUUACAAUUUCCCACUUGGACUAUCAAUAUUCAAACAACAAGAAAAGCUACUGCAUCAGAUAUAGCAAAACUGAAGUCUGCACAAAAACAUCCAGCACCAUCAAAACCAUUCCAAAACUCAGCCAUUCUGUAAUCCCCAUUAUAUUGAACCACAGCAAAUCUACACUUAACCAAGAAUUAGCACCUGCGACUACAAUCCAAUAUCUUACAGAACACAGGAGUAAACUUAAGGCAUAUGAAACAUUAACUUGCUAAACAUAGUGCAAGUAAACUGAUCCAAACUUAAUAGAUUCUCAAUAGCUAAGGAAUCUGCUACUUCAAACACUAAAAAUACAUACAAGUAUACAUUGAAAUUCUGUAACUAAUGCUAAUGAACUAAAAUAACAACUUUUACUCGAGCAAGAGGAAAAAUGCAGAAAACUGAUUCAAUAAUACUACUUUAGUCAGAUAUUUGAAUAAUUAAAAUACAGAUAUUAAGUCUACUGCAAUGCAGGAUUGAACUCUCCCACUAACCUAAGACAUCAAAACUUGGUAAGAUACCCAUAUUUGUAACAUUAUUCUGGAAAGUACUAACUCCUAAGGGUUUUGUAAGUGGAUCUGCCAACUGAUCUUGAGUACGGAUCUUAAAAACAUAAAUCUCAUCAUCUCUUACGCUUUCCCUUGCGGCAUAGUACUUGACGUCAAUAUUAUCACAAUACAACCUAAUCGGUCUCUCGAUAGAGUCUACCACCCCAAUCUAUGCAACAAAGUUUCUGAGCCAAAGUGAGUGCUUGCCCUAUAGCUUCAUGGACAGCAACAUAUUCAGCUUGCAAAGUUAGAGACUGUUUCACACUCUUCCAAGAUAUUGCCCCUCCGGCCAGCAUAAAAUAUACCCUGAGGUUGACUUAAGAUCAUCCACACAACCCUUAUAAUCUAAAUCACUGUAUCCAACUACUUCCAAGUCAGUAUCAAGAUUUCUAUAAACCAGCAUGUAAUCUAGAGGUCCUAUUGCAUAUAUAGAUAGCAGUCCUCAAUGCCUUCCCCCCCCCCCCCCCAAACCACAAGAAUCUUGGUAAGUGUCCCGACUUACUAAUCAUACUUCUAACCAUGUUGAUCAACGUUCUGUUCCACAUUCUUGAAGAUAAAGAGCAAAAGGUCCCAUAUUCUGUCCAGCAUCUGUAUGCCUACCAUAAUACUCACCUCCCCUAUCUGAUCAAACAACUUUAAUGACUUUACUUAAUUGUUUCUCUGCCUCAGCCUUAAAAAUUUUAAAGAGGUCUAAAGCCUGUGACUUUUCAGAAAUAAGAAAUACAGGCAGAACCUCGAAAAAUCAUCAAUAAAGGUUAUUACUGAUUUUUACAAAGAGUCAGAAGAGGAAAAGGACCACAGAUGUCACUCAUGUCAGUGUGGAUUAAUUCUAAUAGUUCUUGGGCUCCUAAGAGACCCCUUUUUACUAGACUUGGUCGUUUUACCCUUAAGACACUCAAUGCAGACGUCAAAAUCAGUAAUAUCUAAAGAAGGUAGAAUGUCCUCUCUCACAAGUAUUUUUAACCUCUCUUUUGAGAUAUGUCCCAACCUUUUAUGCCAAAGAAAAGCUGAAUUCUCAUUGUGUCUAGGUCUCUUAUGUCCUAUAAUCUUUUCUGUCAAAAAUUCCUCAAGUGAAUUUCUACAGUUUAAAUGCCAAUAACCAUCAACAAGAGAUGCAUUACCAAUAAAAUCAGAAAAAUGGAAGAAAUCGAGACUUUUAUUAUCUCCAACAAAAUAAUAACCAUGAGUUUUCACAAAACGAGAUCCUGAAACUAAAUUUCUCUGCAUAGAAGGUAUGCAGUACACAUUCUCCAGAUCUAAAGUAAAGCCACUAGGAAAAACUAGCCUAACUACUUCAAUUGCUUUAACUGCUACUCUGUUUCCAUUCCCUGAGCUAAUCCUAGCUUCAUCCUUAUUUGGGAUCCGAUUUCUUAGAUAUCCUUGCAUAGAGGUAAUGACAUGUAUAGGUGAAGCAGUGUCAACCCACCAAGAACUAGAAGACACACUAACACUGUUAUUUUCUAAAUGAAAAACAGAUUUGUUUUGAAAAAUAUUACCUUUCUUAACAAGCCAGUCUUUAAAACCCUUGCAAUCUUUUUGACAUGACAGGCUUUCGGCAGAAGAAACACUUUACAGAUCCACUCUUAAAAAAUUUUAAAUUGUUAGAUCCCUGAGAAGUUCCCUGAGAAACUUUAGAAGAUGAAGCACCAAAUUGAUUUGACCUAUAGCCGAAUUUCUUUUUAAACUGAGUCUUGCUGACAAGAUUCACUCCAAUGCUCUUCCCUUUCUUAAUUCUAUCCUCUUCUUGAACACAAAUUGAAAUCAAUUCAUUCACAGACCAACUCUCCUUCUGUGUAUUAUAGUUUGACUGCAUCUAACUUAAGCCCAGCAAACAACUAAUAUGAAGAUCAAAACUCAAUUCUCAAAAGACACAAUCUUAAUUAAUCAAAGCAAUGCAUUAUAUAUAAAAGGCUAAGCAGCAGAUAAGCAUGAAUCAUACAACAUGUUUAUAUCAAUUGCAGACACAUAGAAACUUCAUUCAAUUUUACACAGGCAUCAUUCCAAUCCAAAACACAAAAUCAUGCAACUGAAGGUAAGUUUCUUCCGGCAUGCAUCUAGGGUUCUUGUGCUUUAUAGAAAUCAUAGACAUGUUUUGAAUUGAAAACAAAAAUUUCCAGAAAAUCAGAUUUUAAAACCUUAUGCUGUUUCAUACCAAAGUGCGGAAGCAUACCAGGAUACUUUACGUGCUUCUUGUCGAUGAAGGGAGACCCAAUUAGACAGACUGUGGGAUUCUUCGAUCAUGAUCCCAAUUAUGUUGAAGGAAAAUUUAGGCGGAAAAACUUUCAAUCAAGAUCACCAUCGAAGAACCCUAGAAACCCUAGA
rnacentral:lncRNA from 1 species